ensembl:lncRNA
GGGCUAUAGUGCUGGGGCUAUAGGACUGAGGCUAUAGGGCUGGGGCUAUAGGGCUGAGGCUAUAGGGCUGGGGCUAUAGGACUGGGGCUAUAGGGCUGGGGCUAUGAGGCUGAGGUUAUAGGGCUGAGGCUAUAGUGCUGGGGCUAUAGGGCUGAUGCUAUAGGGCUGAGGCUGGGGCUAUAGGGCUGAGGCUGGGGCUAUAGGGCUGAGGCUAUAGGGCUGAGGCUGGGGCUAUAGUGCUAGGGAUAUAGGGCUGGGGCUAUAGGACUGAAGCAGGGGAUAUAGGUCUGGGGCUAUAGGGCUGAGGCUAUAGUGCUGGGACUAUAGUGCUGGGGCUAUAGGGCUGAGGCUGGGGCUAUAGUGCUGGGGCUAUAGUGCUAGGGCUAUAGGGCUGGGGCUAUAGGACUGAAGCAGGGGAUAUAGGUCUGGGGCUGUAGGGCUGAGGCUAUAGUGCUGGGACUAUAGUGCUGGGGCUGGGACUAUAGUGCUGGGGCUAUAGGACUGAGGCAGGGGCUAUAGGGCUGAGGCAGGGGCUAUAGGGCUGAUGCUGGGGCUAUAGGGCUGAGGCUGGGGCUAUAGGGCUGAGGCUAUAGGACUGAGGCUAGGGCUGAGGCUAUAAGGCUGGGGCUAUAGGACUGAGGCUAUAGAGCUGAGGCUGGGGCUGAAGAAGGGCCUGGGGGUGCAUGGGGCUGAGCCAAAAGCGAUCCCUCCUCGAAGAUAACAGCCGUUCCCUAAAGGAAGGAAAGCCUGGGUGGAGCUGAAGCUGUUUCUGUUCAGGGGACUUUUCAGUGAUAGGAUACAGAUGAGCCUGGAAUGCCAGCAACAGAGCAGGCAGCAGCAGUUUAAUUCAGACGCCGAGGCCUGCUCUGCUCUUAUUAACCAGUGCAGUGAAGGAACUGUUGUUGCCUUCCUUCUUACAACAGAAAUAUACUUAUGCAAUAAGGCCAGAGGAGGUGUGGUAUAUGGCCAAUAUACCACAGCUUAGGCACAACGCAACAAAUAUAAAUUAGCUGUGGUAUAUUGGCCAUAUAGCACAAACCCCCAAGGAGCCUUAUUGCUAUUAUAAACUUGUUACCAACAUAAAUAGAGCAGUAAAACAAAAUGUUUUGUCAUACCCGUGGUAUACGGUCUGAUAUACCAUGGCUUUCAGCCAAUCAAAAUUCAGGGCUCAAACCACCCAGGUUAAAGUAUUUGUUAUACACUUAAAUUAUAAUUCAUUCCUCUGCUGUUAUCUGUUUGUUGUUUUACCAAUUUGUGAAGUGAUAGUUGACCUAAAUGGGAUGUGUUGGGAGUACAUAUGAAGGAGGUUCUCUUUGAUAUGUGAUGUUUCUGUCAUGAUGUCUAAAGUCACAGUGAGAAACCUAACCUUGGUAAUUGGUACCAGGCUAAUGCUUAGUCUGGUGUGUGAAAACUAGAGAGGGAGAACAUGGCAACAAAGAACACAUUUCUUAUUUAUGUCUCCAUUUGAAGUUUACAUUUUUUAUUGCAUGUUUCUUUAGUUGAAUAUAAAGCCUGGACAUUGUGUAGAAUCCUUUCAACCAAACUUGAAAUUCUAAUAGCAUAUUUGAAUGAGGUUUCUCUUUUUUUAUAUAUAUAUUUGAAUAAAAGCCUAUGUGUCAA